rnacentral:tRNA from 1 species
UGUUCUAUGGUGUAAUGGUAACACGUCAGAUUUUGGUUCUGAAAUUCCAAGUUCGAAUCUUGGUAGAAUAAC